rnacentral:rRNA from 1 species
GACGAACGCUGGCGGCGUGCUUAACACAUGCAAGUCGAACGGAAAGGCCCUGCUUUUGUGGGGUGCUCGAGUGGCGAACGGGUGAGUAACACGUGAGUAACCUGCCCUUGACUUUGGGAUAACUUCAGGAAACUGGGGCUAAUACCGGAUAGGAGCUCCUGCUGCAUGGUGGGGGUUGGAAAGUUUCGGCGGUUGGGGAUGGACUCGCGGCUUAUCAGCUUGUUGGUGGGGUAGUGGCUUACCAAGGCUUUGACGGGUAGCCGGCCUGAGAGGGUGACCGGCCACAUUGGGACUGAGCUACGGCCCAGACUCCUACGGGAGGCAGCAGUGGGGAAUAUUGCACAAUGGGCGGAAGCCUGAUGCAGCAACGCCGCGUGCGGGAUGACGGCCUUCGGGUUGUAAACCGCUUUCGCCUGUGACGAAGCGUGAGUGACGGUAAUGGGUAAAGAAGCACCGGCUAACUACGUGC